rfam:Fukomys damarensis contig77847, whole genome shotgun sequence.
UAGGGGGAACGGGGCUCAGGUCCCCUCCCUGAGCCCAGGGUAACUCUGAAAGUGGAGGGGAA